rnacentral:lncRNA from 1 species
GCGUGUGGCCGCCGAGCACAUGGACCCACUGGUCAAGCGGGCUCGGCAAGGCCAGGAUGAAGAGAAGCUACGAACUUAGCAUUCCCAGAGCCCCCCGAGUGGAUAUCCGCGUGGAAAGGAUGUUGGCAGCCCCGGUGACCUCGGAGUCACGGCUGGAUCCACCCUCUUAGAGCCGAGUUCUGUCACCACAGACAUUGGCAGUGGCACUUGCAUGCCCCUGGCAAGCAGUCUAUCCUGAGGUGGAGGAAGUUGCCCUUGAGUUCUGGCUGGUAACCAGCACAGUAUACCCUUUAAGCGUUCCAGAAGGAUUUUGAGAUCCUUUCCUAAAUCAAAGGUGGAAUAUUUGGGGAUUUGGAAAAUUGAGUCUCUCAGAAGAACCAGUUGUGUUACUUUGCUGUGAGAUGCCUGCCCUAAGAGAGGAGCAGAAGGUCGGAACGGGUCCUCUAAUGUGAUAAUUAGAUGUGAAGCGUUGACUUAAGAGAUGCCAAGUAACUCAGCAGAUGUCACACAGACGAUAAAUAGCAAAGAUGGAAGUCUUCAUGCCGGAGGCAAUCCUAUAAGACAGCUGAGUUCUGCAGAGCUGGUAGGAGACAGACUUGCUCAGGUGAUAGAUCCAGCCAUGAUACUGACCCUAAGAGAAUGAGACGCUCUGCAGAAGACAGAAGAUUCCUGAAACUGGGAAAGGUGCCUAGAAAUCCUGAUAAGAGUGAAGAAGGGUACCUGGAGGCACAGCAGCCAUGUUGAACCUAUGAGGUGAUGAAAAACCAUGCAACUAGAAACCAGAAUGGAAGAAAAGAAGAAGCUGGAUCCUUGACUGAAUUGUCGAUGGGGGAUAGUCCAUCAUCCCAGGGCUAAGACCACCUCCAGAUUUCUUGUUUGGUGAAACAAGUCCUGAUUGUUUACAUUCCCUCGUGUUGAGCUGUCUCUUGCUUGUAGCUGAAAGCAUUUCUAAUAGAUAUUCAGAUUAUCAGCCUUAGCUCCAAGCUAGAAUACUCUAUGGGACCUUAGCUUCUCCAUGAAUUCCUUUGCUCAUCUGUGUAAUGCUCAAUAAAUGUAAAUUGAACCCUGAAUGAGGGACAAUGACAC